UCCUGGCUAGGACGAACGCUGGCGGCGUGCCUAACACAUGCAAGUCGAACGGACGAGGGGAGCUUGCUCCCCAAGUUAGUGGCGGACGGGUGAGUAACACGUGAGCAACCUGCCCUUCGGAGGGGGACAACAGCUGGAAACGGCUGCUAAUACCGCAUGACACAGCGGGGAGGCAUCUCCCUGCUGUCAAAGAUUUUAUCGCCGAAGGAUGGGCUCGCGUCUGAUUAGAUAGUUGGCGGGUAACGGCCCACCAAGUCGACGAUCAGUAGCCGGACUGAGAGGUUGAACGGCCACAUUGGGACUGAGAUACGGCCCAGACUCCUACGGGAGGCAGCAGUGGGGAAUAUUGGGCAAUGGGGGGCAACCCUGACCCAGCAACGCCGCGUGAAGGAAGAAGGCUUUCGGGUUGUAAACUUCUUUGACGAGGGACGAUAGUGACGGUACCUCGAAAACAAGCCACGGCUAACUACGUGCCAGCCGCCGC
rnacentral:rRNA from 1 species